UAAAAUAGAGCUUUGAAUAAUACUUUUUUCUAGUUUAAAUGAAUAAUAACUCUCAAGGUGUAUAAGCUGAAUUAUCUUCUUGUUUUGAUAGUCUUUAGUCAAUUUCGGAUUUUUAAAUUGUUAUGAGUCUACGACACUUAGUUUCAGCGAAAUUCAAUUAAAAAAUCAUGUUAUAGAAGACAGAAAAAUAUCAGUAUCUGUUUUCAAUAACUUGGCUUUCAUAGCAAAUCUGAGAGAUUGUUUACCGUUUAACUCCUGUCCCAAUCUAACCUAGUGGGUUCAAAAAGAAGGGAACGCGCUGGAAACAUGAGUGGAUUAAAAGGAUCAGCCCUUUUUGAAUUAAUAGUCGAAGUGGUAACCAGCUAGAAGUCGUAACCUGCUCGUAAGAAAGGAUUUCUCGACGUGAAAUUGUUAAUUUUAUUCAACAACGCCAAGAAGCAGAGCUCGCUCAAGAAACA
rnacentral:lncRNA from 1 species